UCCACUACGACGAGAAGAAAGCUAAGAUCCCUCAUGCGCCAUUCUCUCCCUGCCUGAUCCUUACUAAAAUACGGUGAGAGUUACAGCUGGAUUCCUCUGCAUUUUUUCUGCCUGCCUGUGAUUAGUUGAGGCAGAUCAGAGCUGAGUAGGAUGAGCUAAGUAGGCUGGCUAGGGAACGGAAUGUUGCAGAAAAAAUCUGCUCUUGACAAAUGCAGCCAACAAUUCGCUGUCAUUGCGUAUUUUUGUUUGUAAACAAAAUUUGGGUUGUUGCUGUAGAUAAAAAGACCACCCUUUUUUAUAAGUUUCAAUCUUGACGGAUAGUUGAAUUUUCAAUAAGAAUGGAACUUAUUUUGGCAUGUGGUGCUGGCAGAGAUUGUCUUGCUGUUGUUGCAGGCGCCAAAACGAAGCUUUCUUUCUAUCAACAUAUUCCUGCAGGAUUUAUCGAACAUAAACCCACUGCUGAGGUCUGAGGGCAUGGGCCCUUCGCACUAUCAAUUACAUGUUUCUGCCCACUUGCGUUGGUGGAUGUGAAGAAAUGUGCCAGGGAUCCAUCACCAUGUGUUAGGAAAUAUGAGGCAUAUGCACUCCGUAAGCUCUGUGACUUUGCUUCCAGAGGAAAAUAUGACGUUGGAGGAGGUGCUCAGUGACAAUUCCUCUUGUGAUCCUGGCUCUAGGCCUCCACCAGAAAAAUCCAGUGCAGUUCUUGGCCCGCACCUCCCUCAGUCCCCAGGGGCCAGUAUCUCCUCCCUUUGCCACCAACAUCCAGAGAAUCGAGACCGCCGUGGCUCACCAUCCCGUUCAAAUGGCGGCAGUCCUGCUUUCCUGGCAGUGUGCAGCAGCUCAACGGCUCGCCUGAUCGUCAAGCCAUCCCCAGACCUCCGUCCCUACAGCUUUCUGCCUAAACACACUUCACCUAUUGCAAGAUUUGUUGAAGAAUGAAGAGGACCGGAGGGCAUUGAUUCUCCUUUUCUUUUCUCCGUAAACACACAACGAGAAGGCACAAGAUUUUUUUCUUCAUACAUGGAGCCAGAUACUUUCUCAAAGUGAAUAAACAUGAUAUAAUUGACACUUGCAAGUCU